rnacentral:lncRNA from 1 species
UGCCUCAAGGUUCCAUCUUCACUUGCACUCCAUACCACAUUAGGGUUUCCAACUUCCACCUGCAGUAAGUAUGAGAAGCAAAAGCAAGCAGGUGAACUUUGAUAUUCAAGCUGCCAAAUACCAUCAUGAAAUACCUGGAUUUCCAGUUCCCAUACUCAUACAACUUCAUUUAAAUAGUUGACCUCUAAAGAACUGUAUGGCCUGUGAUGAGAUCUUACAGCUAAUUUUUUUACUCUCCUAGUGUGACACUGAAACAGUGCAGAUGGGGUAAUAGCAUUCUCAUCUGGUCCUCUCCCACUUAAGCGAGACAAAUGAAACAGCCGAACCUGGAUAAAAAUCAGUAAGUGCUUUUUAGUUUUUACUGACAAUACUCAAUUGCAUUCAAACAAUGUGUCUACAUACACCCAUAAGAACAUACUUCUGCAUCUCCGGCUCCAGAGGCGACAAGCUCAUCAGAAGUUUCAGGGAUAAAUUUUGCGCAGAAUAUAUUAGCAGAAUGCCCAGUCUCUAUGCAAUGCAAAAGCUUGCGGCUUGGAUAGUUCCAAAUAUUAAUCUGCAGUAAGUUUAAGCAUUAAUAAUAUUAAGCCACAAAUGUCAAAGCAUACAUGUGCACUACGCAUUUAAACGAGGGAGGCUUCUAAGCGCCCUCCAGAAAAAUGUAAUUUUCCAAUAAUACCCAAUAUGAGUAGAAUACUUCGAACUUUCCCACAACAUGAACUGUAUUGGAAUCAUAGAUGCUCCAACAUAGGUUUCAAAUUUUUUUCAGGUUUAAACUUCAUCCAUGCUUUCUAUCUGCAACACACUCCCUCAACUCUCUCAUGAAUGCAACCCUAAACUGCCACAACUAAUCCCUGAGCUUUCACAAAUGUUAGCACUCCAUUCAUAGGAGGUUGAUUUGACAAAAUCUGAGCCCAGACAAAAAGUUAUUGGAGUGGAAGAAUAGGAAUUCAUGCACCAGUUGUAACUUGAUAAUAGAUUAUUACCAUUUAUAAUAAUAAAUAAUAUAUAUAUAUAUAUAUAUAUAUAUAUAUAUAUAUAGAUACACAUAUAGAACACAACCGUGUAUAGAUAUCAAUGCUAUAGCAUUUUUAUAUUAGUUGUAAUAUGCAAACAGCUCUUUGUACAGCAUACUUAUCAUAUUUCAUUUCCCCAGAAUAAAUAUACACAUAAAAAUAGGCAUGUCCUCAUCUGAAAUACUGUAGCAACAUGUGCAUGUAUUUGUAUCAAUACUGCAACCCAAUACUUCAUAUUUUUAUGAAUGUAGAUAUAUGCUACUCGCGUAAACAUAAGUGUGUAGUAUAUGUCUUACAAGAAGCUUACUUUUCCACACUAAUACAGCACUAUUUCUGAGACACAUGACAUGCCUUUGCAUGUGGACACUUUUGUGACAAAACACAUUACAAAUAAGGAUAAUGAUUUAGAUGUGCAGCACUUAAAUUGAUUGUGCAGACAAUGAUAUACAAAUUUUAGUGAUCUUUUAUAACACAUAUUUGCAAUAGAAGGGAGGAAUUGUAAUAGAAAAGUAAGCCCUAUGUAACUAAUGUUACAUUUCUUGUUGGUAGAUGACAAAAGAAACCUUUACAACCUUUUUUGAAUAAGGACAGAUUCUUCACAAUGCAGCUAUUCUUAUUAGCACUUUACCUUUUAUUUUAUUUUUUUCCCCCAAUGAAUGCUUUACAACUGUCCAAAUAAUAGUAAUCUAAUACUCUAUACCCACCAUAUUAUCUAACAACUGGGAAAGCAAAAUGGGUUUUGACAGUUUCUGAACUUGACCAAUUAUAUUCACUAAUCGUAAUGGUACAUGGCCUAUGUAACUGUUCGACAAUCAAAGCCAUUCAAGUUCAAAUAACACCAUUUUCAUAUGAAGAUUGCUUUUAUUUUAUUUUUCUAUUUUUUUUAUCGCUGAGGAACCUUCCUUGGCCAAGCCCUUAGGGCUUUCCAUGAGGACCCAAACCUCAGGGUGCUGACCACUCCUUCAACAACCAGCAUCAGGUAAAUCAAGGUAUUUAACCAGCAACAGGAUUCAAACCUGGGACCGUGCACACAUCCCAACAUUUGCCCUAACCAAUGUACUAUUUCAAUGGAAUGACAAGAAUCUUCAGGAAAACAGUGAAGGUCCUAAAAAAUUAUCAUUUUUUUUAAUAGGCAAACAAAAAUAAUAUUAAUAGUAUCAAUCAAAAAAGGGCCAAGCAAUCACGUGGGGAUAUAUACAAGGGAUGUCGCUGAAAGAAACAAAAAACUUCCCUUACAUUCUGUAGAACCCAACCCAACCAUCCAACCUUUUAGAACAUUUUUUUGAUCAGAUGACCUUUUAGAACAUUCUUAUAGGCAAACAAAAAUAAUAUUAAGAGUGCCAAUUCAAACCGGCAAAAUAAAUUAACAAGAAAUAUACAAGGGAUACUGCUGAAACAAAAAACUUACCUCCCAUUCUCUGACCUUUUUAGAAUAUUAUGUUAUAGACAAAUAGAUGGAUAGAUAGAUAAUCACAUUCACUAGUACCAAACCCAACCAUCCAUUGACCUUUUUAAAAUAUUAUAUUAUAGAUAGACAGAUAGGUAGACUGAGACUCAGACUGAACCCACCGCAAGGAAAUAGCUACAGAACUGAUUUUAAGAUCUGUUGGGACUACCCCAAAAAAAAAAUUCAGCAUCAAAAUAAAGCACAAAAAAAAAAAAAAAAAAAAAAACUUUCAAGCAGAACUACAACUUUCAAAUUCAGAAAAUUUAUAAAGAAAUUGGUGCAACUCUUGGCCAAUAAGACAGCUCAUAGAACAUUUUCUGAAGAUAACAAAAAUUCUGUUCCUAAUUUGACUGGUCCUUGAGGCUUGGCUCAAGUGGUCAAGUGCUUGUGAGAGGUUCCAAAUUCAUGUCCCAAUGGGGAUAAAAAUUUACCUAUCAAAAAAAAUAAAAAUUAGACUUCAUCAUUCUGUUCUAAGUGAGACUCUUGGGAUGCCUUAGUAAGACAAAGUUCUACUUGUUAGCACAUCCAAAAGAUUUUUUUUUUUUUAUAUAUAGUUACAAUAAGCACCAUAUGUAUCUUGCUAUCACAAACUAGCACAUGCACUGGUGGCCAGGCGGCCGAUGAUAAACAAAUCAAUUAAUGAGACCGUGAAGCCCCUGGGUACACAGAUGCAGCUUCUAUUAGAAAUAUGAAGGGACAACUACCAUUUUCUCAUCCACUAUGUAAAGCCUGGUUGAUGUGGGAUCUCUUAUUUACCAUAAUGGGAAAAUUAAAUGGAUCCUUGUGAGGACAAUCAAGGAUCUACUAUUGUCCUGGCAGCAGAAGGUGAAAACAUUAACUCCUAUAUUCUAGUUUUUUUUUGUUUUUUUUUUUUGAUAAGUAAAGGGAGGUAAUAAUAUAUGAAGAAGUUCUGAAUUCCUUUAUUGAUUUUUUAGGUACACACCAUACACAUAUAUAUAAACAAAUGACUGAAUAAGAAAAUAUCAAUCUAGCUUGAUUCUCUCCUAAAAUUAGGAAACUGAAUCAUCCUAAAUGAUCUCUCCUUUUUUAUUCCUAAAAUACUUUCCUAAAUUAAAACCCUAACUUUGAAUGCCAAAUUUCAACACUCCCCCUCAAGCUGGAGAAUAUAUAUCAUAUAAUCCCAGCUUGCAAGUUAAGUCUUCGAAGUUAGGCCUAGGUAAAGCUUUGGUGAGGAUGUCUACGGUUUGGUGCUUGGUAGGAACAUAGUUCAAUUUAACCGUCUCACUAGUCACCUUCUCUGUGAUGAAGUGUCUGUCAAUCUCAACAUGCUUGGUCCUGUCAUGAUGCAUGGGGUUCUUUGCUAUGCUUAUAGCUGCCUGAUUAUCACACAUCAUCAGAAUUGGAGAUAAACUCGUUUGUCCCAGUUCACUAAGAACCCUUUUUAUCCAAAUCCCUUCACAGAUUCCCUGUGCAAGAGCUCUGUACUCAGCUUCUGCACUACUUCUGGCUACAACUGAUUGCUUCUUACUCCUCCAGGUAACAAGAUUUCCCCAGACAAAAGAACAAUAUCCAGAAGUGGACCGCCUGUCAAUAAUGUUUCCUGCCCAAUCCGCAUCUGAGUAUACUUCAGUGUCACGGUUCUCUGUCUUUCUGAAGAAUAAACCUUUCCCUGGUGUCAUUUUUAAAUAUCUAAGAAUCCUGUAGACUGCUUCCAUGUGUUCCUCAGUGGGGCUGUGCAUGAAUUGACUUACAGCACUCACUGCAAAGCCAAUAUCUAGCCGAGUGUGUGAGAGAUAAAUCAAGCGCCCGACAAGCCGCUGAUAUCUCCCCCUGUCUACCGGUGUACUUUCUUUCUCGAUACCAAGUUUCUUCUGACUAUCCAUAGGAGUAUCAAUUGGUUUGCAUCCAAGCAUACCGGUCUCCUUAAGAAGAUCAAGUAUGUAUUUUCUUUGAGAGACUACAUUCCCUUCCUUGAUCUAGCCACUUCCAUACCAAGGAAAUAUUUCAAAUUUCCAAGGUCUUUAACUUCAAACUCUUCUAACAAAUACUUCUUCAAAUUCUGUAAUUCCUCCAUAUCAUUCCCAGAUAGAAUAAUAUCAUCGACAUAGACUAUCAAUAUGGUCAUUUUCCCGGCAUGAGACUUCUUGACAAAUAGAGUAUGAUCAGCCUGACCUUGUUUGUAGCCCAGCUUCAGGACUGCUUUUGUGAAUCUAUCAAACUAAGCUCGGGGAGAUUGUUUAAGGCCGUACAAGGAUUUUUGGAGUUUGCAAACCUGAUUCUUUGCCAUACUUUCUUCGAAACCAGGUGGUAUUUCCAUGUAGACUUCCUCUUCUAGGUCACCAUUCAGAAACGCAUUUUUUAUGUCCAGUUGUUGCAAGCACCAAUCUUGAUUGACAGCCAAUGAGAGAAGAAUCCUGAUAGUGUUCAGUUUUGCAACAGGAGCAAAAGUCUCCUGAUAGUCUAUCCCAUAGGAUUGUGUAAACCCUCUAGCUACCAAACGAGCCUUGAAUCUCUCGACUGAUCCAUCUACUUUGUAUUUUAUGGUGAAAAUCCACUUGCACCCCACGGGCCUCUUCCCAACCGACAAAUCUGUGAUAGUCCACGUCCCAUUCUUCUCAAGUGCAUCAAUCUCAUCUUGUACUGCAUUCUUCAAUUCUGAAAUUUUUAAUGUCUCUUGUAUUGUGUUGGGAACCUGAGUAUCAUCAAGAGAAGUAGCAAAUGUUCUGUAAGAUGGUGAUAGCCCUUCAUACGUAACAUAAUUCCCAAUUGGAUGAUCUGUACAUCUCCUAACACCCUUCCUCAAUGCAAUCGGCAGAGUAGAAUCAUCAAUGUUGGGAAUUAACACCUCUCCAACCCUAUCCUCACCUAUGUUCUCUUCAGGAAGACUUGAAUUGGAGUCAAUAUAUUGACCACAUGUUGACUGUGAUCCGUGCUCUAAUUCCUGUCUUUUCCUCCUCCUGAUGUAAACUUGUAAGUUCUCAUUAGCAAGUUGUGGGGCUAUAGGUUGAAUAGGCAUGGGAGACUGGAUGGUCACGGGAGAAGGAACAUUUGUGUGCUGGGCUGGCUGGACUGAUGACGGCAUAGGUGUGGACAACUCAGUGGGCGCGAAUUGGGAAGGAUUUGGUGACUCUGAGUGAAAAGAAGGUACACCCUCAAGAAGAGACUCCCAAACUUGAUGUUCAUUCAUGCUCUCCCCCUGAACAUGAGAUUUGGGAUAGAAGAAGACAUGUUCAAAGAAAGAGAUGUCCAUGGUGGUGUAAAAUCUUUUGUUGGUUGGAGAAUAGCAUUUGUACCCUUUUUGGGUUGGAGAAUACCCUAGGAAAAUGCACUUAUUUGCUCGAGGAGCAAAUUUGCUACGAUUUUGAGGAUACACAUGAACGAAUGUCGUGCAACCAAAUACUUUGAGUGGUAAAUCAGAAGAGGCUGCACGGGUGUGAGGAAAUUGUUUUAAGAAAAGUUGACGUGGGGAUUGAAAGGUAAGCACUCUGGAUGGCAUACGGUUAAUCAAAUAGGUAGCUGUGAGAAUAGCUUCCCCCCAGAAAUAGUUUGGAACAUUAGAGGAAAACAUAAGGCACCAGGCAACCUCCAAGAGAUGUCUAUUCUUGCGUUCAGCCACCCCAUUUUGUUUUGGGGUGUCAACGCAAGAACUUAUGUGGAUAAUGCCGUGAUUUUGAAGAUAAGUACUGAGACUACUAGUAAAGUAUUCCUUUGCAUUAUCUGACUUGAGGACUUGAAUUUUGGAAUUGAAUUGAUUUUGAACCAUAAGAUUGAAGGUUUGAAAAAUGUGCCCGACCUCUGACUUUUCUUUCAUAAGGAAAACUCAUGUUACCCGUGUAUGAUCAUCAACGAAUGUCACAAACCAUCGAGUGCCAGAAAUAUUUUUUAUCCGGGAGGGACCCCACACAUCACUAUGUACUAGAGAGAAAACAGUCGAAGGUUUGUAUGGGAUUUGAGGAUAUACUGUUCGAGUAUGUUUUGCAAACUGACAAAUUUCACAGUGAUAAGAUGCUGGAUUUUUAUUGAUAAAUAAUUUGGGAAACAAUUUUCCAAGGUAAACAAAGCUAGGAUGACCAAGGCGAUAGUGUAACAUUAUAAUCUCACUAUCUUUAUUGACCUUAGAAUUUGACACAGAAUUGAAAGACUCUAAUAUACUCUGAGACUGCACGCAACUUGCUUGAGAGACUUGGUUUGAGAAUUGGCCACAUGAGAGGAGGUAGAGCCCGGAACACAGUUCAGCACUGCCAAUCAUCUUCCCCGAUUUCAAGUCCUGAAAAACACACGAGUUUGGAUAGAAUUUAGUAACACAUUGGAGAUCACGGGCCAAUUUUCUAAUGGACAAAAGAUUACAAUCCAAGUUUAGAACAUGGAGGACAGAGUCAAGAUAUAAGUCUUUAGUAAGUUUUAUAGAACCUGUCCCGGCAACUUUUUACUUUGAACCAUCAGCAAUAUGGACGGAUGAAUGACCAUUACUUGGCUUGUAAUUUUGAAGAAUGGUAGCAACUCCUGUCAUGUGAUCAGAAGCACUUGUGUCCACUAUCCACGGCUUCAUUCCUCCUUGAUUAGCAGUGAAGGCUACACCGGUAGUACUGCCACUGCCAACUUGGCUUAAUAGUUUCUGUAGCAUCUCCAUCUGCUCUUUGUUGAAUGUACUCGGCUCGGGAACAGAUGUGCUCUCAGAGUUGGUAGCCACGUGUGCUCUGCCAUCUCUGUCAACCCGUGGCUUUGGUUUCCAAUCAGCCGGUUUGCCAUGAAGCUUCCAGCAAGUCUCCUUAUAAUGGCCUGGUUUCUUACAAUAAUCACACCAAGGCCUAUCCCGUUUCUGACGAUCUCCACCACUACUAUUAAAUGACCGAGCAGCAAGGGCAGAGGCAUCCAAUGUUGGGGGAGGUUGCUCUUUGGAUCCCAUCAUCACUUUCUUUCUACUUUCUUCACGCCUAACCUCUGAAAAAGCCUCCCUGAGACUUGGAAGGGGUUUAAUGCCCAUGAUUCGGCCUCUAACAUCAUCCAAUUCCCUGUUUAGUCCUAGGAAAAACUUGAAUAGUCUCUUUUGUUCCACAAUUUUCCUGUAUGUUGCUGCAUCAUCAGAACAUUUCCAUGAGUGAGUCUCGAAUAAGUCAAGGUGCUGCCAAUACCUUGUGAGUGUGUUGUAAUACUGAGUAACUGUCUACUCUCCUUGGCGGAAGUCAUGUAGGGCUGAUUCAACCUGAAAAAGUUCUGAAAUAUUUUCAGAAUGCGAGUAAGUUUCUUUGGCUGCAUCCCAUAUGUCCUUUGCAGUCCCAAACAGCAAGAAAUUUUCACCUAUGUCAUUGUUCAUGGAAUUGAUAAGCCAUGACAUGAUCAUGCUGUUUUCAAUCUUCCACUCCCUGAAACCCGGUUCUAUAGUUUCUGACAUGGCUGCUUCUCCGGUGAGGUACUCAUCCUUUCCUUUACCGCAAAUGAACAACAACACAGAUUGUGACCACUGUAAAUAGUUAUGGCCAUUUAAUUUGUGUCCUGUGAUGAGAAUAGGAGAGGAAUCACUGCCACCAAGGUUUGGAAUUUCAGAUCUGCCCCCUGAUUCUGGUGACGUGACGUUGGAUACUUGUGAUGAUGACAUUCCGUAUUUUGUCAUGGACCAGAAAGGUAGAAGAACACUUCCCAAGGCACGUGCAGGGAUUGGAGUUGAGAAAAAAUAGCCGGAGGACGCCGGAAAAACUAAUCGGAGGGCCCGCGGAGGCAAAAAAACCCCAAAAGAGGCACGUGCAAGGCUCGGAUGGCAAAAACAGGUAAGAAGGGUGGCUGGUCAGUGUCAGGCGAGCCUGGAGGAGGAAGCGCGUCGCCGGCAAGUGGCUCACGCGCCCUCACUCGCCGGCGCGUGAGAUGCAGUCGCCGGGCGGAAAAACGCGUGUGGCCGGCGCGUGGAUGGUUUUCUGGCUCCGGUGGUUUGGGAAAAAUUGGAGAUCUCGUCCAGGCGCUCCUUGCGGUGUAGAAAAAACCAUCGCCGGAAAAGUUCGCCGGAAAAGUUGCCGACAGUGAAUGUUUUCUGACGACGAUUCGACCGACCGGAAAACGUUUUCUCCCUUGACUUUGAGAACAGGGACUGAUGACCGGAAUGAGAGAUGGCCAGAGAGAGAGAUGGUCGGAUUGAGAGAUGGCCAGAGAGAUUUGGCCGGAAUGAAUGAUGGUCUGAAUAAGAGGUAGCCAGAAGGGAUUAGGGUUUCAGAAAACUGGCUUUGAUACCAUGAAGAAUUUCUGAAUUCCUUUAUUGAUUUUUUAGGUACACACCAUACACAUAUAUAUACACAAAUAACUGAAUAAGAAAAUAUCAAUCUAGCUUGAUUCUCUCCUAAAAUUAGGAAACUGAAUCAUCCUAAAUGAUCUCUCCUUUUUUAUUCCUAAAAUACUUUCCUAAAUUAAAACCCUAACUUUGAAUGCCAAAUUUCAACAAUAUAUUAAAAAGAGACGCCAAAACGGCGACUCAAAGAACACAAAAAAGAUACACUAACCCCCACCCAGCUAGAACAAAAACAGCUUUGAGCAAGGAGGUGCAAAAAAAACCCCACCCUCAAAAAGUCUAACCAAUCAAUGAAACCAACUAAUGUCGAAAGACCAUCUUUUAUGAACAAUUUCGUCUCUCCAUUUCAUUCUCAUUCGGACUGAUUCGUCGUUUAUUUUCUAGCUUGAUUGUGGGAAAAGUCAGCUGAAAGAUGGUAUAUCUUAAUUCAAGCCUUUUCCUUUGUGGCUGGCCCCAGUACUUAACAUCAGGUUGCCUCCACAUAUGAAAAGUAAGCCAGCUGUAUUAGUAUUAGCUCAUCAACUCGCCUUAACGCACCAUCACUAUAUAGGGCUGGACUUGCGUACGGUAUCACUUGCCUAACAGCUGCCAAAAGCGGAAGCUUCCAUGUUGACGGGCUUAUUGUCUCCUUUCUAAAGGGAAAAUCAGAGAAGAAAAACUCCUCGGGCAGUCGCUAACCAUUGAGAGAAAACAAACAAAAGAACUUUUAAGUCUUUGAAUGCACAACACUUCAUCUUCAAACACUCCUAUAUGCUAGUUUUGAUGCUUAUGGAGAACAUAGAAUGGAACAUUUUGACCAAAGAUUUAAAGAGUUACUUCUUUAAUCUCUAGUGGAAAGCUCUAGAACUCCACUGAGGUUGGACUUUCGCACUCUGUUGGACUUCAUUGAUGGUUUAAGAUAACAGGUGAUUAUGAUCCUAGUGUUCACUUUUCCUUCUUGUCCUCUCUGGUGCUCUCCAUUUACCUACUGUUUACAGAUUGCACCCCACUUUUGCCAAGCACCUUUUUAACAUAUAGGUGGUGGUUACACACAUAAAAUUGAUUUCAUGAGAGUAUUUUUUGCACCCUCUUUUCUGUUUUUUGCUUGGUACUCUUUGUAUACAACUUGUAUACUCUUAUGGGCUUUUUGUGUUUUUCUUAAUACAACCUCUUACUAAUCAAAAAAAAAAUUUAAAAAAAAAAAAAAAUAUAUAUAUAUAUAUAUAUAUAUAUAUAUGUGUGUGUGUAUAUAUAUGUGUGUUCUUUUGUAUACCUAUUUUAAAGGAAUUUUGCCAUAUUGCUGAUAAUGGAAUAUUUUUGUCAUUCUUGAUUGUUGUGAAAAAUGAAAAUAUCAAUAAGGCGGUCAGAAGAAAAAAGAAAGAAGUCUCAAUAGCUCAAGCCAUAGAAAGCUGCAAUGAAAGCUUAGCUUGUAAAGGAUUUCAAAAUUCCCAAGUCAACCAGAAAGGAUUAUCUUGGAUGACAGAUCAGGAACAAUGCUGCAUGAGAUGGCAUAUAUAUGACUAGAUUAAGUUCAAAUAGCAAAAAGUUCUUUUGGAAUCAGUAAUAUAUUGAAAUCGCUACCAUAGAAAACUUGGUUGCAUCCUAGAGAAGCUAAGAAACUCUGGAAUCAGUGAUGGUCUAAGAGAAGCAGAUUUGCAGCAUCCUGCUAUCUGGAAGACUAGGGUGUAUGGACGGCUUCUACAGAAGUUCUUUGCAAACAAAGUAGAUGGGGAAUUUUUUUUUUUUGAUAGGAAACGACAACGGGAUAUAUUGAUAAAAAGAAGUUACAACUAGAAGGAUGAGAAAUCCUCCCACCAAAGAAAAACAAGACUACAAGAUCAAAUAAAAGAAAUACAACUAGAGAAUAAGCAAACGGUCUAUUUACACACCGCUAACCAAUCAAGUUGUAACAUGUUAAGAGGAAUCCCUUUAAAAACCUUAGAACAAAAAGCCCAUAGAGAAGCCAAAAAACGAAUAGAAUCCCAAAGACACCCUGAAUUCCUUGCUUUAUCCUCAAAAAUCCUUGCAUUUCUUUCCCGCCACACCACCCACAUUAACGCGAUGCACGCGUCUUGCCAUAACACAACCCCUCUCUUAGAAGAACCGAAACCAUUAAAAUUAGUAAAGAACAUGUCAGAGAUGCUCCUUGGGGAAACCCAAUCCAUCUUUGCUAACUGAAAUAAUCUGUGCCACAACCCCUUGGUCAACGAGCAAUGGAGGAAAAGGUGAUCUACUGUUUCUCCAUGCUUCAUGCACAACUUACAUAUGUUGGGACUAAGUGCUUUGUGGGGUCUUCUCAAUUGUAGCAAGUCAUUAGUAUUAAGCUUCUUGUGCGCCACCAACCAGACAAAGGACUUGACUUUGAAAGGGACUUGAGAAUUCCAGACAAACUUAGUAGGGAACACUGGAGGCGACUCGGAAUGUUGGGUCAUUUGCUUCCUGAUAAUUCAACAGGCUUGUGAAAGCAUCUUUAGGAUGGCUUAGAGGAAGCACUCUCAUUCAAUUAAUUGUUUUAGCGAAACAGAAUUCAGUUUUAUUGAAGCAACAAAGCUAACAUGGAGUAAAUCCAAUGCAAAGUAUUUACCAAGUUUAUAUGGUUACCUCUUACAUUUAUAUUUAAUACCACCUUAAUAAAGACUUGAUUUGAUUAGACUAGUUUACACGGUAAUGGAUUCAUUUGUCGGAGUAAGACAUAAAACUGGUGUUCUCUUAGAUUAAGGCCUUUUAUUGAUGAAGUAGCACAAUCUACAAGAAACACAAAUUCAGCUGAACAUAUGCUUGGAGAUUGCACAGUAUCAUUGGGGGAUUAUCAACUUAUUUCUCAGUAUUAGACAGCUCUCUGAAGUAUGAUACCUGUCAUGCAUAACACUAGCCAAACCAGAGAGAUCUUGAGAUCCUCUCUUACAUUGUUAGAAAACAAAUUUAAUAAACAAUUAGAAGGCUAAGGAGUUCAAAGAAAGAGAUCUGUCCUAUGCAUAAUCAAUUCAUUCACAUGGAAGAACAAAGAAAGAAAGAGCAAAAGAGAGAGCUAGAGAUUCCAAUAGACUGUUGUAGUCAGCUAACUUGAUGUUGAGUUCCUUCUAAAUUGGGGAGAACUGAUGUGGAUACAACCCCUCGAGUUUAUCCUUGUUGUCUGAUUGGCCAAGAAUGAGUAUAUAUUGACAAACACCAAUUAAAAAAGAGGGCACACCCCUACACUAGGAGUAUUAAAAGGGCAUCAAAAGGCCAAAAACAACCCCUUAAGAGUUUUUCCAUUAAAAAAAAAAAAAAGAUGAAUAAUAAUAAAUUUUGCAUCUGUCGAAUUCUUUAAUUGUGAAACUCCAUAAAUCUCUUCAAGUGCAACUUUUAGGAGGCCUCAACAAAAUGCCAUAGGAUUUUUAUAUUCCCCCUUUUCCAUCUUCUAGUUGAGACUUAUGGAGAACUCUUCUAUGCUCUUUCUUCUAUCUUUUAGGUGAGACUUGUCCAUAAAGAUCUCUUUCUAUUUGUUUCUUCUCCAUAUCUUGCUUUUCCUGCCUUAAUUUUUUUUUUUUUCCUUUCACUAUCAUAGUAAUUUGGUGCUUUAUACCCCUUCGUAAAUUCUAAACAACAAAUUCCUAACCUACUCUUACUUGAUUGAGGCAACCACCUUAUGGUGGAAGAAGAGUUAUAUGAUCUAGUGAGCAAAACAAGGAAUAGUAUCACAUUAUAUAACUUCCUUCUAUACAAAAAAGCAACCAUUUUAAGCCUAGUCUCAUCUUUUAAUAAAUAUCUAAUUAUUUUCUAAUUACAUACAAUAAAACCCUAUAAAAUAAUACUUUUGGGAUCAAGAGAAAUUAUUAUCUUAACGGAGUUACCGAUUUAUUGAUAAAUGAAUAAUUUAUUAAUUUAUUGAUAAAUGAAUAUUUAUUACUAUAGAGAGAUUAUUAUUUUUCUAUUGUAGAGUACUUAUACAUUUUUAUUUUUUUUAUAAGUAAAGAGCAAUAAUAUAAAGAGAAAGAGGAUACGUCAAACACAACAUUCUCAAGUAUACAGGAAGUAUACAGCAAAGGCCUAAAGGCUCACCCCAUCGGGCAAGAAAGAGAAACAAAAAACGACUUGCCUUUAUUUUGAACCUAACCAAUCAAUGAAACUAACAAAAGACAUAGGAGUCAUAUCUACAACUACACUAGACCAAUACCACAAAUUACAUACAAAAGAAUUUUUCAAUCUUUCAAUCGAUAAUUCCCCAUUGUCAAACAUUAACAAGUUCUUUUCCUUCUAUGUUGUCCAAAAUAUACAUAAAGGAAUCGUUUGUCAAGCCUUUUUACAGGUUUUACCCACAAAAGACUCAUACCACCCAAGAAGAGUAUCCUUAACCGAGUAGGAGAGAACCCAAGACACCCCAAAGAGGGGAAAAAACAUAUGCUAAAGAACCCACAACUUUGCACAAUGAAGAAGAAUGUGAUUGACCGUUUCUACUUCAAAAUGACAAAGGAAACAUCUAUUUGCCAAAUAGAACUCCCUCCUUUGGAUCUGGUCCAGAGUUAAGACUUUCCCCCAAGUUGCCUCCCAAGUGAAGAAAGCCACCUUAGGUGGCGCACAAGAUACCUAGAUUCUACUACAAGGGAACACAAGAGGGUCUUUAGGUUGUAAAAUAGAAUAAAGAGAUUUGACUAAGAAAUUCUCAAACCUCAAUGUUGUCCAAAUCACUCUAUCAUCCACAUCCUUGUACACCCUAGUUGUUUGAAUCUUCUACAAAAAAACACUCCACGAAAUCCAGCUCCCAAUCAUUAAAGGCCCUAGAAAACCACGGGGUCCAAUCACCUCCUUCACCUUCGAGGUUCCACAUAUCUGUCAUCCAAGCUUUCUUAGAAUAAAAUGCUAUUAAUAGUUUUCCCUUUUUUUCCUUAUUGUAUUGUGGCUCCCACUAGCAUGUAUAUAUAUACCCAAGUCCAAUGUGUAUUAUCAAUAAUUUUUUAACAACAAAAAUUAGGGAUUCUCCCUUUUCUAUCUUUUCACAUGGUAUCAGAGCCUAGGGAGAAAAAAAAAACCUAAUUAUUUUCGGUUUAUCCGUGAAUCAAUUUUGGGAAACCUUUUAGUGACCGUGUUUCAUUCCGAUCACCUUCCCCAUCUCCUAAAGUUUUCCGGUCAACCGUAUCGCCGUCAGAAAACCCUCACAGCCGAUGACUUUUCCGACGACUCUUUCCAGCAAAGUUCUUUUUCCGAAACCGACCAUACCAUCAGGUGUACAAGGAGGAGAUCUUCAAGUUUUAUCAAAACACCGGAGAGAGAAUCUCAGUCACGUGAAGGCCAUGCAUGUUUCUUCUCCGGCGGCCUGAACCUCACGCGCAGGCGCGUGGAGCACUUUCCAACAACGCGCUUCCACCUCCAGCCUCACCUGACGCCGUCUAGCCACUCUCCAUCUGUGCUUGUACCAUUCGAGCCCUGCAAGUGCAUUUCUUGGGUUUUUGUCUCCGUCGGCCCUCUAAACAGCCUUUUUACGACGACCUCCGGUGACUUCCUCUCCACCCUGAGCCCUGCACGUGUCUUAGGAAGUGUUCUUCUACCCUUCCAGUAGUGCCACAUUUGUUUUUUCUUUACUAUUUGGACUCUCACAGCUGCGGAUCCUCGGUUUUUCUUCUUUCAGCCGCAAUCUGAAGCCAUAUUAAGGCUCUCUUCGAUCCAAACAUAUUUCAUUCUCCAAAUAAGUAGAUAUGACUACUAAAAGUUCCAUUUUUUCCUGUGUUAUAUCUAGAUCUCCUAUGUAAUCUUCGGAGAAAUUGGUUGGCAGUGAAGAUUAUUUGUCCUGGUUUGCCUCUGUGGAGCUUUGGUUUAUGGGUCAAGGUUAUGAGGAUCACCUUGUUACGCAGUAGGCGGAUAUCCCUAAGGUUGACAGAGUACAAUGGAGGAAGAAAGAUGCAUAAUUAUGUAGUGUGUUAUGGCAAUCAGUUGAUCCUAAGAUUCUGUUUCAUCUUCGGGCCUACAAAACAUGCUUUAAAUUUUGGAAUCAGGCGAAAAAGUUAUACAGGAAUGAUAUCCAACGUCUUUAUAAGGUGGCUUCUUCUAUUGCCAAUGUCAGACAACAAGACAUGGAUUUAUCUACUUAUAUUGGCCAGAUUGCCUCUCUUAAGGAGGAAUUCUUGACAGUGAUGCCUCUUACUACUGAUGUUGGGGAUCAACGAACAUAGAUUGACAAGUUUUUCAUGGUUCUUACGCUUAUUGGCCUCCGUCUAGAUCUUGAGAUCGUCCGCGAUCAGAUUCUUGGCAGUUCCUCCGUUCCAUCCUUGGAUGAUGUGUUUGCUCACCUCCUCCGUAUCUCCUCCACUCAGACUUUGUCAUCUGAUAACACUUCAAAUUCUUCUGUGUUAGUUUCUCAAACUAACUCUCGAGGAGGACGCAGUGGUAACCGAGGUAGAGGCCAACGUCCUCAUUGCACCUAUUGCAAUAAGUUUGGUCACACUCGUGAUCGGCGUUAUCAGUUACAUGGGCGGCCUCCCCACACUGUCCACGUGGCCCAGUCAUCUAAUCCUCAGCCGCCUCAACCUCCGAGCUCUCCACAUCUCAAGGUAUUUCCCUCACUGACAGUGAGUAUGUUGACUGUCUCCUCUAUCAGGCCACCAAGUCAGCUUCUGUUACUUCUGUUGCCUAGACUGAUAAUGUUUCUACUUGUCUUACCCACACCUCUUCUCUUGGACCUUGGAUUCUAGAUUCUGGCGCUUCUAAUCACAUAUCUGGUAAUAAUGAUCUUUUCUCUUCUAUUACUACUACCUCUGCUUUACCUAUUGUUACCUUAACUAAUGGUUCUCAAACUGUGGCUAAAGACAUUGGCUUGGCACAUCCUCUCCCUUCUCUACCUUUCACUUCUGUCUUUUAUACUCCUGAGUGUUCCUUUAAUCUUAUCUCCAUCAGCAAAAUCACUCGUACUCUUAACUGCUCUAUUACUUUUUCUAAUAAAUUUGUAACCUUGCAGGACCGGAGUACGGGGAAGACAAUUGGCAUAAGACGUGAGUCUCAAGGCCUCUAUCACCUCACCUCGCCUUCAACUCCUGCAGUUUGCAUUUCCACUGAUGCUCCCCUCCUCAUCCACAGUUGUCUGGGCCACCCUAGUCUAUCCAAGUUCUUGAAAAUGGUCCCACGUUUUUCAUCUUUGUUGUCGCUUGCAUGUGAGUCCUGUCAGCUUGGGAAACAUACUCGUGUCUCAUUCCCAAAGCGUUUGAAUAAUCGGACAAAGUCUCCUUUUAAACUUGUCCACACUGAUGUUUGGGGUCCUUGUCAAACCGCGUCUACUUUACGAUUUCAGUAUUUUGUCACUUUCAUUGAUGACUAUUCUCAAUGUACUUGGUUAUUUUUAAUGAAAAAUCGAGCUGAGUUAUUCUCUAUUUUCCAGAAAUUUUAUGCUGAAAUCCAAACCCAGUUCAAUAUUUCUAUUCGCGUGUUACGUAGUGACAAUGCCAGGGAAUAUUUUUCUGCACCAUUUACUUCAUUUAUGUCCCAACAUGGGAUCCUUUAUCAGUCUUCUUGUGCUCAUACUCCUCAACAAAAUGGGGUAGUUGAACGUAAGAAUCGACAUCUUGUUGAGACAGUUCGUACUCCCUUUCUCCAUAGUAAUGAUCCUUUUCGUUUUUGGGGGGACGCUGUUCUUACAGCAUGUUAUUUGAUUAAUCGUAUGCCCUCAUCUGUAUUACACGAUCAGAUUCCCCAUUCCCUUCUUUUCCCUGACCAACCACUUUAUUUAUUUCCUCCUCAUGUUUUUUGUUGUACUUGCUUUGUUCAUAUUCUCACUCCUGGACAGGACAAACUUUCUGCCAAAGCCACAAAAUGCAUCUUCUUGGGAUACUCCAGACUUCAAAAGGGUUAUCAUUGUAAUUCCUCUGAGACUCAUCGCUACUUUCUCUUCGCUGAUGUCACCUUCUUUAAGGACUCACCAUUCUUCUCCACCUCUGAGUCUCUUCCUGUUUCUAAAGUCUUACCCCUUCCCAUUAUCUCCCCACCUGAUGCAGUGUCUUCUCACCCACUUCAGGUUUAUCAUCGUCGUCAUCGUGUCGUUGUUCCUCCUUCUUUGGCCGAGGUACCUGCUAACUCACUUCCUAUCCCUUCGGCUUCUCCUGCCCCGGCUCUGCCUCCUUCUAUUGACUUACCCAUUACUCUUCGAAAAAGUAAUCGAUCUACUUGUAAUCCUCAUCCCAUUUACAAUUUUUUGAGUUACCAUCGAUUAUCUUCACUCUAUUCUGCAUUUGUUUCUGCUAUAUCUUUUGUUUCUCUUCCCAAGAGCACCCCAUUCAGGCCGGCGACAAGCAAUGAUAAAUGAAAUGGUUGCUUUACACUCCAAUGGCACUUGGGAUCUUGUUCUUUUACCCUCUGAUAAAUCUACAGUUAGUUAUCAUUGGGUCUACACAGUUAAGGUUGGCCUUGAUGGUCAGGUUGAUCGCCUUAAAGCCCGCUUAGUUGCUAAAGGCUAUACUCAGGUUUAUGGUUUUGAUUAUGGUGACACUUUCUCUCCUAUUGCCAAGAUAGCUUCUAUUCGUCUAUUGCUCUCCAUGGCUGCUAUGCAUUCUUGGUCUCUUUAUCAGUUAGAUAUUAAAAAUGUUUUCCUUCAUGAAGAUCUUGCUGAAGAAGUUUAUAUGGAGCAACCACCUGGUUUUGUUGCUCAGGGGGAGUCUGGUUUAGUGUGCAGGUUACAUCGUUCUCUAUAUGGCUUGAAACAAUCUCCUCGAGCAUGGUUUAGCCGUUUUAGUUCUGUUGUUCAGGAGUUUGGCAUGUUUCGCAGUACAGCAAACCAUUCCGUUUUCUAUCAUCAUAACUCUUCAUGGCAGUGUAUUUCUCUGGUAGUUUAUGUGGACAACAUCGUCAUUAUAGACAAUGAUCAUAAUGGUAUUCAGAAACUAAAGCAACACCUUUUCACCCACUUUCAGACUAAAGACUUGGGGAAACUCAAGUAUUUCUUAGGGAUUGAGAUAGCUCAAUCCAUUUCCGGUGUGGUUCUUUCCCAAAGGAAGUAUGCUUUAAACAUCUUGGAAGAAAUCGGUAUGUUAGACUGUAAACCGAUAAACACUCCUAUGGAUCUAAAUGUCAAACUUAUACCAAGACAGGGGGAGCCUUUAUGAGAUCCUGGGAGAUAUCGGCGACUCGUAGGUAAACUGAACCACCUCACCAUUACUCGUCCAGACAUUUCUUUUCCUGUAAGUGUUGUUAGUCAAUUCCUACAGUCACCAUGUGAUAGCCAUUGGGAUGCUGUAAUCCGCAUUCUUCGAUAUAUCAAAAGCACACCAGGCCAAGGUGUGUUGUACGAGAACAGAGGUCAUACCUAGGUUGUUGGUUACAUAGAUGCAGAUUGGGCUAGCUCACCCACAAAUAGACGUUCCACUUCCGGGCAUUGUGUUUUUAUUGGAGGUAACCUAAUAUCCUGGAAGAGUAAUAAACAAGAUGUAGUGGCCAGAUCUAGUGUUGAAGCCGAGUAUCGAGCUAUGGCUCUGGCAACAUGUGAACUCAUAUGGCUAAAACAUCUUCUACGGGAGUUGAGAUUUGGAAAAGAUGAACAAAUGAAGCUCAUCUGUGACAACCAAGCCGCUUUGCAUAUUGCAUCCAAUUCAAUCUUCCAUGAAAGGACCAAACACAUUGAAGUUGACUGUCACGAAGAUCGCAUCAGGAUGUGUGGCAACUAGUUUUGUCAAUUCAAAUGAUCAACCAGCAGAUAUUUGUACUAAAUCUCUCAAGGUCCUAGAAUUAAAUACAUUUGUAACAAGCUUGGUGCAUAUAACAUAUAUGCUAUACCUUGAGGGGGAGUGUUAGAUAGUGUACAGUUAUUUCAGUUAUUUACUUUUCCUUUUUUUUCCUUAUUAUAUUGUGGGUCCCACUAGCAUGUAUAUAUAUAUCCAAGUCCAAUGUAUAUUAUUAAUAGUUUUUAAUAACAAAAAUUAGGGAUUCUCCUUUUUCUCUCUUUUCACAAAAGAGAUGGCAAAUAAGGAAGAGAAGGACUCACAAAGUGGCUCAUCUCCACACCACUUAUCCCUCCAGAAUCUCACCCUCUAACCAUUACCAACUUGGAAGGCCAAUCUACUACUCAAAAUAUCCCACUCCUUUCUUAUAGCUUUCCACAGCCCCACACCAUACCUUUCAUUUAACUCACAAGAAUGCCACUCCCCAUCAUCUUCUUCAAACUUUUGAUUAACGACAUGCUUUCAAAGGGCUUCUCUUUCAUUGGCAUACCACCAGUUCCACUUACAAAGGAGGGUUUUAUUCAUCACAAAAAGAUUCCUCACACCCAAUCCUCCCGGCUUUUUUCUCUAAAAAGACCGUUUUCCACCUUAUUAGAUGUGGCUUCUACACAAAAGCCCCACCACCCCAAAGAAAAUCCUUCUGCAUCUUCUCCAACCUCAACCUCACCUACCUUGGAAAACAAAAAAGAGACAUAAAAUAGAUUGACAUGCUAGAAAGAGUAUCAUGAAUUAAAGUGUCCCCCACCCUUUGAGAUAUAUUGUCUUUUCCACAUAGCUAGCCUUUUUUGGAAUCUCUCUUCAACCUCAUCCCACGCUGCCAUAGAUUUGAAAGGGGCUCCCAAAGGGAGACCCAGGUAGCGGGAAGGGAGCCCGCCUACCUCACACCACAACUCUAAGGCCAAGACAUCAAUAUUUUCCAUCCUCCCCACCAAAAUAAGCUCACUUUUAUCCAAGUUGAUUCUCAAGUCCAAACAUGUAUAGUAGUUAUACAUGUAUGACUUAUAAAUCUAAAAAUAAUGGAUGUGGUCAAAAGUUAAUAAAUAGAAGUCUAAGAUAGUUUAAAAAAUUGGAGAUGGAUAUUAAUUGUAUAAGAUAAAAAAAACUCUUAAAAGGAAGAGAUUUAAUGUCAAAACUUAACACCCUAGAAGAUACAGAGGUUUUAAAUAUGCAAUGAUUCUAAAAAAUAGUUGAAUAAAGAAAAAAAAAAGUUAUAAAAAGCUACUCAAUCUUGUAUUAUUAAUUUUGUUUGCUAUUUUUUUAUGGACUUCAUCAAUUAUUAAUUUAUAUUUCAUUAGGCCCUUAAGGAUUUCAAAAAAAAUUAUUAUCUUAUGCAUUUAGCAAAAUUAUUAAUUUAGUACACUAACUCAGUUGGGACCAAAAGAUUUUAUUAUUCAAACAAGAUUAUUAAUUUAUUGAACAUUUAUUAAUCGAGGUUUUACUCUAUAAAACUAUGAACUUGAUUAUAUAUUCUUGUCAUGGGAAAAUAAAUAGUAUGUUAGCAAAAGCCAAAAAAAGAGGUGCCAACUUGUAUACAAGAAAUAAAUCACAAUUCAUGUCCUGUGUUAAAUUUCUAAUGAAUAUUUCAGAUUUUUUUUCCAUGUGUCUUAUUGUUUUUCAUUAAUGUGAAAUAUAAAUUUUCUACAACUAUUUCUGUCAUUUGCUUUCAACAAAACAUUUUUUAACAUGUGAUGUCCUACCCCAUCAAUGUUGUCUUACAUUCUUCCACACUAGUAUCUGUCAUGCAAACUAUGGCAUGUGAUCAUCACAAGCAUGAAGCUUGUAUGCUGAGAAGAUAUCAAACAAGACCAUCAAAUAGAAAAUACAGCUACAUCAGUGGCCUGAACAAAGUGGCAAGGGGGUUAAGGUGGGAGGGGGGUAUUCCAUGUAACAGCAAAAGAAAAAAUACUUAUCCAAAAAAAUAAAAUAAAAUAAAAUAGCAAGUAUAUAUGCAUCAUACCCUUGUGUCAUCAGAUCCAGAUAUCAAAAGUGAGCCUCUUGAGUUCCAGGCCACAGUGUUCACACAACCCUGGUGCCCCUAUUUAAAAGAUAACAAAAUUGGGAGACAUCAACAUUAAGAACAAAAAAGAAUCCAAGAAUGAAUGACCUAAAAAUAAUUGUCACCGGCAGAAAGGAAAAUGGUUGCCAUUCCCAGAAAAUAGCAAUCACCAAAGGAACGGUAGAGCUACUAUUCACUUGCACUGCCAUGUUACAUCUAGGCUAUCCAGAAAAAUAGCUCAAGCAUAGAUCCAGAACAUUCACUUUAAAAUGUAGUUUAAGAUUCAAGCAAAUCAUAGCUUAACUAAGGUACCAGAAGCCCUAAAAUACUUCUGACCAUGCUUGACACUGAAAAGCUAGAAAUGAAGAAACAUGCCAACUUGAUUUAACAACAAAAUUUACCUUUCUUAGUUUGUUAAAGGGUAUGCCAAUGCAAAUUCUAAUGCCUGUUUCAGACAGGUGUUAAGUACAAUGUGCUCUAUUCCACUAAAAGUUGCAAGCAUAGAACCUUGAAUCAGAUAUCUCAGUAGACCCAGAUUUUUUUAUAAAAAAAAAAAGGGUUUUUCCCCCAUCUCAAUUAAAGAAGUUGAAGACAUGGCCCUAAAUGCAGCAGCAGUAUUCAAUUCAAAGUUCUAACAUCACCUAGCUUUGGAAGACUACAAUUCCUCAAAAAAGAAAAAGGUUAAAAUCAAAAUUGAACUUAAAAUUUAAAAAUUUAAGCAAUAUACCAAAUUGUUCAUUGAAGAGGUAGUAAUUAUUAUUUCAAAAUUUUCACAAUUUUUUUUAGUAUAAUUGAUUGCAUCAAUUUCCUACUUGCAGCAAAUUGGUGAAUGCAUCUACAGUCAUCUUAAUAUCAUUCAGAGUAUGAUUGUAUCAAAAUCUGCUCCAUAUAUGGAUAAUGCCAAUUGUUUCCAGAAGGGAGGAUGACAAACAAGCAUGGGAAGGCAAAAGGAAUAUGCUAGAGCACAUCUUGCUAAGUGCCCCAAUGAACUACAUUAUUUGACAUAUAAAACAAAAUCUUAAAAAAAAAAAAAAAAAAAAAGGAAACAAACAGGGGAAAGCAUGAAAAGACGUGAUAUGAUGGUUUAUAACAUUGUUAUUUUCACAACAAUAAUUGGUCCAACUAAAACUGAAAAUGCGAAGCCAAUAUUGAACCAUUUCUUAUCCAUUUCCAAUUUUUUUUAUAGGUAAAAGCAAUUGUAUUAAAAGCUCUUAAAACAUGCCUAAAGUAUACACAAUGUAUACAAGGCCAAAAAAAAAGUGAGGGAUUCACAAAAAACAACAGCCUCGCCUCACUUACAGCCCAACCAAUCAAUAAAGUCAAAUAAAGACAAUGUACCCCGACCCACUCCAAAAACAUGUACACGAAGUAGCAUAAGAUAGCAUGGUCUGUCAAAUCUGCAGCAAGUGGGCAAGUUAUUAUGAUAAUUUCACUUUCCAUAGAAGCCUAGUAUCAUAGAAGAUUGUUUAAACAUGGUCACAUAAAUAAGCCAAGAAAAAUGAUAACAUUUUUCAAAAGGGUUGUUGUGGUAAUGCAGUCAUCCUCAAAUUUGGUAUGUUUCGGCCAAUGACAUAAACAUGAUGGAUCUUUUGUUGGAGACCUCAAGCUCCCGAUCUUUUAGGAUCCAUGCCUUAGCUUUGCCUUUAAUUUGGUCCAUGCCCUCUCAUAAUUUUAGUCAUAAGAUUCAGUCUGUAGCUAACCCCCGCUGUUCACUUUGGUUGAACCUUUUCAAAUUUAUCAUAGUUAAAGUAAUUACAUUACCUGGUAGGAUAAUGGAGGGUAAGCAACAUAAGAUUUUCAUAUUUUAGGUAUCGGAUAAAUAAGGUAGAAGACAUUCCUAGUGUGGUAAUAGAAGCAUGAGAAUUCAGAUCAGUUGGAAAAAUCUACACAGUUCACCCUAUGUUUGGUUAUUAGAAAUUUUGAGGGAAAAUGUGAGGAAAAUGAAAUAAAGAGCAAAAAUGAAAGAACAGAAAAAGUGAUGAAAAAUGAAAAAUAAAUUAUCGUAACAUGCUUAUUCAAACACAUUUCACUUAUUUUUCUUCUUCUAUAUAAAAAUUAAAUAAUUUGAAAAUACAUAAAUUUCUAAAUAAUUUUAAUUAUAUUUUAUUUUCCUUUACAUUUUCCAUUAGUAAACCAAACAUUAAAAAAUCAUUUUCCUUAAUAGUUUCCGAAAACCAAAACUAACCUAAAUGAAGCAAGUUUUUCAAUCAUACAAACCUCCAAUUCUCCCUCCUGGGUGAGCCGUCGUAACAGUGAUGAGUGCAUUUGCAAACUGCGACUAACAUCCUAUACAAACACCAACCGAAGUUCAUAAGGCCUGGCAUUACAAACAAGAACCCAGGUCUAGCAUUUAAAGAAUAAGUUAAUUAUAGAAGUAAAAAUGAAAAUAUGUAAAUUCAUCAUCCAACCAAAAAUAUUUCGCAAUAACAGGAUAGGAAGCAUAAAUUAUUUCACGUUGGAAAGGACAAUUCCUUCAAGAAAGUUUAUGCUAACUAAAACUCUAAAAGUGAUAUGCUAAAACAAAUGCAUAAUAGCCAUCACAAGAUGAAAAUCUAUAUGCAAAUGAAUCAAAAGAAAAAUAAUAAUGAUGAUAUUAAGUGAACUCUGCAAUGAAUUUAACUACUUAAUAUCAGGUACGAAUUCAAUUCAUCUUUUUUUUUCAUCUUAGGAUCUAACGAUUCAACUUUCCCGACAAUAACAUUCCUUUCUCUUUGAUAAAUCUCUUUGAUAGAGAACAGAGUGAAAUGUCAAACCGUAAAUCGGUGUGGUUCACAAAAGGGCAUUCCACUGUCCAACAAAACUACAGAGAUGGACUGUUAGGGCUUGGACUCAAUGAAUCCAAUAAAUAAAGACAUCAAACGAUGUAAUUCAUCAAAAACCUAAAUGAUAUUCCAUUGCGCCAAAUCCAAUUCAAGGAAAAAAAAACGGUAUCUUUCAUUCCGAGAAAGAAGAAAGAAAAUGUAUUCGAUUAAAUUGAUCGGGUGAAUAGAAAAAGAGAUUCAAAAUACAUGGCGAAAAUCGAUGCUUCUGCCGUCAACGAAAUUAUAGAGGUUGCUAUCGUGAAAAUUGGUUGUCUCCAUUAGAGAAGCUUCGAAUUUGGGAUGGAUGAGAGAGCAAACCCUAGGCCGAUCGAUCUUGGGAGUCGGUGAGAUGAGCGCGGUUUACAGCAAGACGCCUUUACCUUAGCACCGUCUUUGGGUUUCUAAUUCGAGAGUAGACAAAAUCCUUAUACGCAUAUCUAAUAUUUCCUGUGUCAUUGUGCUUUCAGCUUCCGCCGCGAUCUUUUAUUUUUUGCUGUGUAUUUACAUUUUACAUAAUAUAAACUUAAUAAUAUUAAUAUUAUUUAUUAAAAUUAACUUUAAAAUUAUUUUAAAUCGUUAAAUUAAGAUAUUUACCCUUAUUAAUUACACCUAGCGUAAAAAAUAUUAAAUAAUAAUAAAAUUUAUAAAUAUAAUUAAAUUAAAUUAUAAUAAAAAAAAUAAAAUAAAUAUAUGAAGUUAAUAAUGAGUUAAUUAUUUUUACUUAUUACAUAAAAUUAUUUUUUAUGGUUAAAUUAUUUUAUUAAAUAUACUUAAUAACUUAAAUUAAAUUAUUAGGUUGGUUUACCAAACAUCCACUUAAUUCUUUAUUAUUUUUCUCAUAUUCGUUUUCAAAAUGUUUAUGGACAUUAAUAAUGAUAAUUUUAUCUUUUUUUUCAAUGUUAUCAAAUAUGAAUUAUAAAAAAUAAAAUUUUCAUCUUUCUUUAUAUUCUUUUCUACCAAAGAAAAUUUAAUAUUUCUAUCUCUUUCUAUUUAUUCCAUUUUCAAGAUCAUUAAUAUUUAUUCCUUAUUCAAUAUCAUUAGAAAUCCUUUUUGUAAGAUUAUUAAAGAUGAAUUAUAAAGAUGAUAUUUUAAUACCCUUUAUGUUCAUUAUUUAUCAAAGAGAGAUUAUAGAGAAAUUUUUAUUUUCCUCUUUUAUAUUAUUUUUGCAUUCAAAAUGGAAUUAUGGAGGAGAUGAAAAAUAAUUUCCACAAUGUUUUUUUUUUCCCAACAUAUUAAAAAUGAAUUAUAUAUAUAUAUAUAUAUAUAUAUUAAUACCAUCAAAUAUUUGGUUAUCUGAACAAGUUUCUCACAGUGAAUGCACUAGUAUGCAUGAAUACACGUUUUAUAGGACUUGUGAUGAAUUAUUACAUCAGGUUAUUAAUGACUUGACUAAAAUAUUUGAUUGUAUCGUUUUUCAAUCUUAAGAUAAUAUUGAAUUUGUAUUAAAGUUAAUAAUGAUUUUGACAUAUAAAUAAUAUUGUAAGUUAAUCAUAUAUUUCUUAUAAAUCAUGUUAUUGUUAAUGAAAUUUGUCAGUAAUAAAUAUUUUUAAUAAACACAUAAUGAUAUCUCAUAAGACUGAAACAAAAUGUUUUAUUGGGAUAUCCGAAUGAUGUGUGUUCAUAUAAACAUUUUCAAAGUCAAUGAACAAAGCAAUCUGGAAUUCCUAACAAGAAUCCUCAUAAUUUUUAUUGCUUAUUUGGAAUAUAUCUUAUAACUUUCAUAACUUUCUCAAAUUCCCUGUUGAUUUUUUUCUCAAAAAUUGAAGUUUGUUGAUGAAGUCCAUGAACUUAGUAAACAUCCCAAUAACAGAUUCAUUAUAUUUCAUAAAAAAUAGCCCAUAACUACAAAAAAUCAAUUAACAUUUAAUUGAUCUAUUGUUGUGUCGAGCUCAUUCCAUUAUUGAUUAGGUUUUAGAAUAACCCCUUCAUUUUUUAUUAUGGUUGAAAUUUGGGACCAAUAACAUCCCAAAUAUCAUAAUCAAUUUAUUUUAAAAACCAUGCUAUCCUGGAAUUAAUUGGUUAUAAAAAAGAAUUGAGGUGGAUUCAUUGAAAAACCUUCCAUGUAGGAUAAGGUGGAGGAAGUAGUCAUUAUCUCUCAGGUUAAAUAAAAAACAAGAAUCUUAACUUUGAUACCAAUUGUGAAAAUGACUAUUUAGUUUAAAUAAAUCACUAAAGGUGGGGAAGGCAAAAUAAAAAUAUUAAGAGAUGGGAGACAAGGCAAAAAUAAUAAAGAGAGGUUAGGAGAAAAUAAAUGCAAACCAUUUCAUAGUGGUUCGUGAAGGUGCCUACAUCCACUUUCCUCACUUUCUUAAUUCCAAAGUCUGUCACAUCAUUCCCUAAACCAAUAAGUUGUAAAAAACUUGAAUCUUCAAAAUGACAAAAGAAGAAGAAGAUAUUUUUGUAAUUUUCAAGAUAUUUCAUUUUUUUUUCCUUGUUUGGAUCACCAAAGGUGGAAAAUGGAAUAUGACAAAAAAUGAAACAUCUUGAAAAAAGUUAAUAAUUAUUUUAGAAUAUAUUCCCUCUUUGUCUUUAUUUUUAUUUUUUACGUGCAUGCAUAGAAUAAAAUUUGUAUUUUUCUUGAUUUUUAAAAUUUUUAAAGUCAAAUGAUUUUUUUCUUUUAUUAUUUAUUUACCAGUGAUUUUCACGACUCCCGUGCUUGCCUUGGGGGACCCAUCCAAGGGUCUCCAACGGGCGGGCCGGGCCGGGCCAUGCUAAAAUGCUAGGCCCACAGCCCAGCCUAUGAGCCCGCUAGAAAGAAAAGGAAGGGGGGAUUUGAACCCCUCCCCUCAUACUUAAAUUUCAAGGCUCUAACCAACCGAACUACAUUCCUUUUAUGCUUAUAAAUUGAAUUAAUUAUAUAUAUAUAUAUAUAUAAAAAUAAAGUAUAUUAUUUUUUAAAAGGGCGGGCCUACGGGCCUAAAUUUAGGCCCAUGGCCCGGCCCGCCCAUAAACGGACUCGGGCCGGGCUUGGGCCGGGCCUUAAGCGGGCCGCGGGCUUUUUGGAGACCCUUAGACCCAUCAAAAGGUUUUCAAUCAUAUCAUAAUAAAUAUUACAAAAAAUAUAAAGUAAAUCCUUUUAAGACAAUUUCAAUGUAAUUUUGAAGUUAUCUUUGAAAAAAGGCAAGGCAACUUUCAAAUUUAAAUUUAUAUUUUUUUAUUUAAAAUACAAUUUCAAUUAAUAUUAAAAAAGUGUUGUAAAUUAAUAUUAAUAAAUAUUUUGAAAAAUUGCUAUAUUUUUUUUUUCAAAAAGUCACACCCCAUGCCUAUUUGGAUGGGAAAUAGGGCCCAAAUAAACCAUGGGCUUCAACUCAGCUUGGGCGGGGCGUUUGGGUUGAACCCAACCGGAUGAUAAUGGAUAAACUUCAUCUUCUAAAGGAAAGGAAGUGGGAGGCCCAACCAUCUUGGGCGGUUGAUGAUGUCAGAUAUCAGAUAUCAGAAAUAAAGAGUUUUGGAAGGUCAGCUUGAGUGUAAAAAUACCGGACGCGUAAUCUUGUUAUACACGUGGAUAGCGAUCUAUUGAAUUAAUUUAUUUUCAUUGUGUAAUUAAAGUGAUCGACAAUUUAAGACACGGAGAUAAACAAAUUUUCUUCCACUAAAUUUGUUCCCUGUUUUCUUCUGUAUCCCCUCGUCAUAAAAUCGAUUGUGACGAUUAAAGACAUCAACAAAGAACACACGUUAAAUUGCAAGAAGAUGUGAUGAAAUCAUUACAAGCAAGUUAUCACAAAGAAUGAUGAAGCUGCCAUAAAAUGUGAUUAAAUUAUUUCCUGAAGUGACAUGCCGAGUUAUCAUAUAAUAUCACCAAAUUGCCAUGAUUAAAUCGCCACUUAAUGUGACACCACCAAACGACUAAGCUUUACAUCUCUUUCUUUCUAUUGCAUUAUAAAAUUUCCCUUCUCGUCAUCUUUGUCGUUUUUAUCAACAAUCUGUGAUUACGAACUAAUUUCUCUCCAUAGUAUAUUCAAAAUUACAUUCAUCUAGGAAAGUCCGUGCGAAGAAGUUCUGAGUCUUCUGACUAAGAAAGAAGAGAGAAAUGUAGUGCAGUCACGAGGCUAAAAGAAAAAGGGGAAAGUGAUUAAGCAAAAGGGCAGAGGGAGGGACAAAAAAUCAGGGCGGAGGGUAGGGGCGGUGGUUGCAGUUUGCCUAAAAUGGUGAUGGCAAGGGAACAAUAACAGGGCUCAAGCACAUGUGAACCGUCUCCCAAAUAAUGCAAAGGGUGGUCCCCUCACCAAGUCAUCAUCUCCACAGUGACUGAAACUUGCACUAUUUCAAGAGGCCAAGGGAAUCACAAUACAUCACUGUCACAAUUUCAUAAAUGCGGGCAUGCGAGGCAAGUACACGGGCAUAAAGACAACAACAAACAUCAACCAUAUUGAAUAAACAUCAUCAAUCCACCAAAACCAUUACAACGUCUAUCAUUUACCAACAAAACCAACAACUAAGACAAUUUCCAUUAUAGCAGCAUGCACAUCCAUAUCAACGUUUCCUUGGUCCAUUAGUUACAAAGCAACCACACCUCACAAGAAAAAGCUCAAUUUAGGUAUGGAGAUGAAAGUGGCAAUUUCUCGCUCACAUGCGCGGAACAAGGAAUGAGAGCAGGAAUGGUGUAUUGGGGCCCUUUCACCCGAUGAAUGAUGAAACAGAGUAAGGCUCCUUCAUCAUGCAAUUCCAUAUACCAGAAAAAGAUGACCCCCAUUGAAGAUUAAAACAUGACAAGGAUACAAAAAGGGGAGAAAGUAAAAGAGUAGGGUCCCAAAUCCACCUAAGCAGAGUUGCACUCUCCUUUUCCCUGGUCCCUCUGUGAUAACCAGUCUUCUCAUCCACACAACAACCACCACCCCACGCUCAGGUGCGAGUGUUACUUUCUCUAAACCCCACGGCAUAACUCUAAUGAUGAAAAUCUCCCUUUUAUUGGAACAUAAUAUACUGCUCCUCCUUUUACCACACCUCACCCUCUAGAGACUAGAGUGAGAAAUUUCACAGGCCGAAGCUACUGAUUUCCAGCUCAAUCAUGGAAGAAAAGAUUCAGAUUCGGCACAGUUCGGGCUCUUUCUCCACUAUUUCCAAUUUCAAGCCCUUAUGCUGGAAACUCAUCAUCUUGCAAAAAUCCACAUCCAACCCAUGUUUACCUAACUUAUUCUGGGCAACCAUGAACAUCUUCUAAUACUAAUAAUGCCAAACAAUAUUACUAGUACUACUGGCAAGACAAACUGUAGCUCAAGGAGUAUCAAGUCCUAAAGCUUUCGCUUUGAGCUUCAAUGAUUUCAAGUAAUGGAUAGCUUCAUCAAGGACCACAAUUGCAUCCUUGCCCUUCCCGCCAGGAAUCAAGCUCUGGAGAAUGUUCACUGUUUCACGUAUUCUGUCUUUCCUCGACCUCUUGUUGCCUGAAAAAGAUUGAAUUUCUCCUGGCUCUGGAUUGUUGCCAUCGGCGCAACUAGAUUCAGCAUCAUCCUCAUACUCGAGGGAAUUGUCGGGCUUUGCAGAACUUGCAGUGUCCAUAAGAGAUGGUACAUUAAAAUCUCCGUUGAAUAAUUUUCUCCUCUUAUUUGACCCAUCCGAACUAGCGACUUCUUCUGCUUCCCCCUCAAGCCAUUCUUGUCUAUCAUACACAGUCAUUGUGCUAGGUGAAUGACCAGUGCUUGUUUCUUCAUCAUCUUCAGAGUAACUGUAUUCAUCAUCCGAAUAGAGCAAGGCAUUGAGCUCCUCUGUAUCCUCAUGCAUCUCACUCUGCACAUCAGUUCCACCAUUUUCAUUAGAUUCAUCAGUCAGAAUUGGUCCCUGGUGAUAAAUCAGAUCUCGUUUUGUUCCUUCCUCUCCCCCACUCAAAUUAUGAGCACC